UUGUUCUUAUUCAAUGUUUCGUUUUCUGGUAAAGCGUCUCGCGACUCGCCUCCUCUCCAGACUGCUCGCUCUUGCUCUGCAUGUGUGUGCGUGUGUGUGUGUGUGUGUGUGUGUGUGUAAAAGAGAGAGGGGAGCAAAGAGAGAGAGAGAGAGAGAGAGAGAGAGAGCGAGACUGUGCACAUGGUUCACUCUGGCUCACGCAUCCUUAUGCCUCUCUUUCUUGUCUGCGUCCGUCGCUCCUUUGCCGCUUAUCUCGCCUUGACUCGAAGACGGUCAAUUGGACGGAUCUCUCAGUCCUGUUUUGUGGCCAAUAAAACUUCUUCUCCUGAAAUCAUUGCUGGAAUCUCAUUGGCGUGCUGUAAGUUAAAAAAAAUCUGAGAUCUCUCUUUUCUCUCUUCUUUUUCUUCCCCUCCCAAGCAGGAAGCAAGCAAAGAAGAAGAAAAACGAAGAGCGAAAAAGGGGCAUCGUGGAUCCUGAAGGGGAGGCCUGUUAGACCAGGUCAGGACAAGUCGAGGAAUGGUCCAUUAGCGUGAGACGGAUAUGACACCCAAACGGAUCAAGCUUCAACUGCCCCUACACGAGUAUACAAUUAUUUACGGGGUUUACAUGAUACCUUGACCAGGAUGUACUUACAACUGUACUGUACAUGUUUUCUCAUUAUUAAUCUCUGUCUUGUAUUUUCUACUGUGGCUCUGGAGCCAAAAGAUUAAUUUACAAAGUAAUUUCAACAUUUUUAAUUUUGUAAUAAAGAAAAUGUUUAAUGCCAAUAAAAUGUUUAUGAAAAAUGUCUUCUUUUUGUAUUUCUUCAAGUUAUGAAUACUGAAUCAGAUAUAGGUCAAAAUAAUACCAAAUGUUAGCAGCAAGCUACACGUAGGCUGUGUCCGGAAAUGCAUACUUUCAUACUAUUCAUGCUAAAUACGAUGCCACAUUGAGUAUGUCGUGCAAUCCAAAAUCAUAUAAUGCAAUUUUGUGUAUGCAAGAAAUGCCAGGAUGUACACUAGAUGUGCCAGAAUCUUUAAACGAUAGCACACUGGUCAUACUAAACCGCUCAACAUUGCUCGCAGCUCUCACAUUAUCUAGCUCCCCAGCUAGCCAAUUAGAAGCAUUUAAAUGACGGUAACCAUCCUGUAAUACGUAUUACACGUUGUCAAAUUAUAUUAUAAUGACUACUCAGCUGUUUUCGUAAUAAACAGAUGUAUAUUGUUAUUGAAUUCUAUUACAGUCCGGUUAUCUUGAUGCUAGCGUAUAAAACGUAGCUCAGACCGGAUGUAUAUAACGUAACAAGUUCAGUAUAUUGCUAACAACAUGCUAACGAUUAGGUUUUUAUGCGGUUUGCAGUACAUUAGUAUUCGGUUUCGGACACAGCCUUAAUCAUGAUUUUCACUAUUUUCUUGGUUUAUGCUAAAAGUUUAGCUAACAUUUAAGCAUGUUUUUUCUAUUCUUGUCAUAACAACCUGUUAACAUGAAGUAGCUACAGCAUGCUAUAUUAAAUAAACACAUAAACGGCCUAUCAGUGCUACUGUAAAUGAUGUCAAGGUCUAUGCUAAUGCUUUAGUUUAUGAUGCUUUUAAUUAACAGCCUUAAUGCUAACCCUUUGACAAAUGCAGUAUAUGCCAUGCUAACACUUAGCACACUUUGCUAACUAUGUUUAGCUAAGUUAAUUAAAGGUUUAUGCAACACUUCGUUUAGGUAGUAGCUGAUCAUGCUAACAAUGCCAUACAUUUUAUUCAUCCCUAUGUUAUAUAAUUUAAAGGUUUUUGCUAACACUGUAUCACGGUAUGCCGUAUCAUGCUAGAAUAACACCAGCAUAUAUUUUUGAUUGAUCUGUGGCACACUGAUUUAAAAAAUAUAUUUUGUGUGCAACUACACUCUUAACAACCUGACACAAUUAAUAUUUAGCACUAGCACACAGUAGUGUUAAAUUGAUGGUAGCAUUUUAGCAUGUUCUAUGCUAAGUGGUUGUAAGAACCAUGCUAGCAUUUUAGCAAACAAUAAUGGCUGUUUUUUUUUUUUAACAUAGCCAAUAACUCUAUUUGAUAGGUUUACAAUUUAAGGAUAAAUAUUUUUUAAUGCUUACAUAUUAGAAGACAAAAUGUUACAUUAGGUUUUAGGCUUUUAUUAAACUUUAUUAUUUAAGCUAGUAUUUAAACUUUUCCUUUUAUUUUAUGGCUCAAUGCUAACACUAACAUGAAGACCCUCAUCAAAAGCUUCAACAUUAUAGCAUUGAUGGUUAGUCUCUCUGGAAAGCCCCACACCGUCACAAUGCUGAAGAUUAUAAAUCUGAAAGUUCAUUCCUGGAGUUUUUUAGCAAUGAAGUGUCAAGUUUUUGUGGUGUUCAUUCAGCCUCAACCUGCUUCCUCUUCCUGAGUGAUUCAGCACAUUUCCAAGAAUGACUUUCAGCACUGGAGCGUUCUUGUCUGGACUUGUUGGAGCCAGAUUUUGUUUUGUUUUGGAUAAUGUGACAAUGAAAAGUAAAGUAUUAGCACACGCCGCAGGACUGAUGCAGCAAGAGGGUUUUUAAAUGUAACAGAGAAAGCUAAAUCAUGUCCUGUCAUCUGAAAGAUGUUGACAUAAGGAUGUUCAGCAUCAGAGGUUAUUAAUGAGUAAAAAAAUAUGUAUAUCUGCCAAUGAAGCAAACACAUUUUAUUGUUAGGUUUCUUGAAAUGAGAUAAACUCACUAAUUCCGACAGUCAAAAGAUGUGUACUGUAUUGGCAGACUGUUUACUCAUUACAAGCAAAGCAGACCUUAUUUUUUUAUGUCUUGAAAUUAGAUGUUUAGCUGGAUGUGUCCAGUGAAUGUGGAUUAUAUUUAGUGUAAUGAUUUAAGUUGUACUAAAAAUUACACAAAUAGGAGUUGAGUUGUUGUAGUGUAUCAUGCCUAUAAGGGGACAUGACGUUUGAUAAAUGAAUCUGGAUGUUGUCUUGUUAAUAAGAGAUUUUUUAAUACCACCAUGUACCAUAUUUGUAAACCCUUGCAAUCUCACCCUGCCACGACUCAUUUCUAUAAUCUGUUUUAUGCAAAAGUGUGAUUCAAAGUUAUUGGUAGGACAAUAUGAAGUCUUGAAUAGAAAAAUGUUGGUCAUUUUAGAUGGACUCUUCAGUUAUUGAAUUCUGCAUUUCUUUAUUUAAAUAUACAAAUGUGAUUUUUAUGGUUUUUACAUUCAGAGCCUAUGUUCAAAUAAAACCCUGAAAUACUG